rnacentral:rRNA from 1 species
GAUGAACGCUGGCGGCGUGCCUAAUACAUGCAAGUCGAGCGAACAGACGAGGAGCUUGCUCCUCUGACGUUAGCGGCGGACGGGUGAGUAACACGUGGAUAACCUACCUAAAAGACUGGGAUAACUUCGGGAAACCGGAGCUAAUACCGGAUAAUAUAUUGAACCGCAUGGUUCAAUAGUGAAAGACGGUUUUGCUGUCACUUAUAGAUGGAUCCGCGCCGCAUUAGCUAGUUGGUAAGGUAACGGCUUACCAAGGCGACGAUGCGUAGCCGACCUGAGAGGGUGAUCGGCCACACUGGAACUGAGACACGGUCCAUACUCCUACGGGAGGCAGCAGUAGGGAAUCUUCCGCAAUGGGCGAAAGCCUGACGGAGCAACGCCGCGUGAGUGAUGAAGGUCUUCGGAUCGUAAAACUCUGUUAUUAGGGAAGAACAAAUGUGUAAGUAACUAUGCACGUCUUGACGGUACCUAAUCAGAAAGCCACGGCUAACUACGUG